UACGUAGGGUCCGAGCGUUGUCCGGAAUUAUUGGGCGUAAAGGGCUCGUAGGCGGUUUGUCGCGUCGGGAGUGAAAACUCAGGGCUCAACCCUGAGCGUGCUUCCGAUACGGGCAGACUAGAGGUAUGCAGGGGAGAACGGAAUUCCUGGUGUAGCGGUGGAAUGCGCAGAUAUCAGGAGGAACACCCGGUGGCGAAGGCGGUUCUCUGGGCAUUACCUGACGCUGAGGAGCGAAAAGUGUGGGGGAGCGAAACAGG
rnacentral:rRNA from 1 species